AGUAGUGUCAAAGCGCUAUGAGUACCUUGAAGGUAGAAAAGCGCUAUACAAGUACAACCCAUUUAUCAUUUAAAGCGCUUUGACACUACUUCCACAUUCACACACACAUUCACACACUGAUGGAGGGAGCUGCCAUGCAAGGCGCCAACCAGCACCCAUCAGGAGCAAGGGUGAAGUGUCUUGCUCAGGACACAACGGACGUGACGAGGUUGGUACUAGGUGGGGAUUGAACCAGGGACCCUCGGGUUGCGCACGGCCACUCUACCACUGCGCCACGCCGUCCCACCAGGUCUGACUCAAUGUUGGGGGGGGGCGUGGCAUCCAGCUCCGUUUGAAUUGCGGGAGAUUUUCGGGAGAAAAUUUGUCCAGGGGAGGUUUUCGGGAGAGGCGCUGAAUUUCGGGAAUCUCCCAGUAAAUCCGGGAGGGUUGGCAGGUAUGCUCUAAGGAGGUGUUUAGGGCACGUCCAACCGGUAGGAGGCCACGGGGAAGAUCCAGGACACGUUGGGAAGACUAUGGCCUGGGAACGCCUCGGGAUUCCCCGGGAAGAGUUAGACUAAGUGGCUGGGGAGAGGGAAGUCUGGGCUUCCCUGCUUAGGCUGCUGCCCCCGCGACCCGCCCUCGGAUAAGCGGAAUAAGAUGGAUGGAUAUAUCCUGUAUCGCGAUAUGGCCUAAAAAUAUCACGAUAUUUUACAAGGUCAUAUCGCCCAGCCCUACUUUUAACCAAACAGAUUCUGGACUUCAACACAGUCUGUGAUUACCUUUCAACAUGCGGCAGCACUACAGUGGAGUUGUUGACCACAAUGCUAAUAAUAGUUCAGAUUUAGUGGGUAAAUAAUACACAUAAACAAAAUAAAAUAAUCGUCGUUACCAACAGCUAAUAGUUAUGAUGCAAUAGUAAGUCAAUAGUAGUGUGCUUUUGCUGUUGACCGUGUAAAUGCCAAAUCAGACUAAUAAGGCGAAAAGAAGUCAGAUGAGAGUGCGGUGGUUAUAUUUACGGACUAAAAAGUGCGGUGGUUAUAUUUACACACUUUGUCUGGCUGCCCUUGAGCAAGCUGGGGUUUCCCAAACACGAUUUAGCGCUAGCAUCAUGCUGACAAGGUUAGCAAUAGCCCGAUGAGAACAUACAUAAAUAUGUAAAAACAUAGAUAAAACAUUCUAUCUUCAGCUAAAUGUCCACAAUGUGGUACAGCUCAUACUUGGAUGGCCUUAUCACCGUGGGGUGUGUACGACAGAUGGCGACGGUUAUAUAAAUAUUGUGGCAUCGGGCUGGUGCAGCACGCCAAUAAGAGGAACAUGGUGCAAUAAACACAGGACAACAAUGGAGAAUAUCCAGCAUGUUAUGUUCUUGCUUCUUCCCUUUCCGUCAUUUGUGCCACAGAGAAGUGAGGAUUCUGUCAACAAAGACCAGAUGAAUGCAACAAUAUUGCAACUCUUUAGACAUACUUGCCAACCCUCCCGAAUUUUCCGGGAGACUCACGAAAUUCAGCCGGAGCUGGAGGCCACGCCCCCUCCAGCUCCAUGCGGACCUGAGUGAGUACAACCUGUUUUCACGUCCGCUUUCCCACAUUAUAAACAGCGUGCCUGCCCAAUGACGUUAUAACUGUAGAAUGACCGAGGGCGAGUUCUUGGUUUCUUAUGUGGGUUUAUUGUUAGGCAGUUUCAUUAACGUCCUCCCAGCGCGGUAACAACACACAACAACAGCAGUCCCGUUUUCGUCUACCGCAAAGCGGUUCGUCUGCCGUAAACAGCAAUGUUGUGACACUCUUAAACGGGACAAUACUGCCAUCUACUGUACGUGCAUAUGCGACAAUAACAUCUACGGCUUCUUCAGGAAGCAAAGAUUGACCGGUUUGGGGCCAUGCUAGGGAGAGAUGGAAGAUUCCAGACUUUAGUGCAUUUGAUGAAAGCACUUUUGUGCGUGCCACACAGCAUUGCAUCAUCAGAGAGGGUGUUCAGCAUGGUUAGAAAAAUAGUGACAGAGAAUAGAACAAGGAUGGACAAUUCAACCCUUAACUCAACAAUGAGUAGAUGAGUGUUAUGUGUAAAUAAAUAAACACUGAAAUUCA